GGCUUUUUGUGGGAUGCGUGAAUGGCUGCCCCUAUGUAUUUUGUUGCACUUCUCCAUUGCUUCUUGUGUUCUGGUGGGAACCUUGGUGAUUCUUCUCAAUUGCUACCUGAGCUGUGUCUGUGCUGGUUGCUGCUCAUCUCCCAGGGCCUUGUGCUGGCUGGUCAUGUCUCUACCUCCUUGGCACUGCCCCUUGGCAGAACCGUGGUCCCUGGUUGGCUGCCUCUAAACCCUUGUGAGGGUGGGGAAUAUUCCUCCCCCUGCUGCUACAAUUGAGCUCUGUGCUGGGUACCACAGAGCCCUCUACACCUGCUUUCAGUUGCUAAGGCAUCCCGAGCUUUGGCUGUGGCUCCGUGGUCCUGCUGUCCAAACCCUAAAA
rnacentral:lncRNA from 1 species